rnacentral:rRNA from 1 species
CCUACGGGAGGCAGCAGUGAGGAAUAUUGGUCAAUGGGCGAGAGCCUGAACCAGCCAAGUCGCGUGAGGGAAGAAUGGUCCAUGGCCUGUAAACCUCUUUUGUCAAGGAAGAAUAAAUUGCACGUGUGCGAUCUUGCCAGUACUUGACGAAUAAGCAUCGGCUAACUCCGUGCCAGCAGCCGCGGUAAUACGGGGGAUGCGAGCGUUAUCCGGAUUUAUUGGGUUUAAAGGGCGCGUAGGCGGGACGCCAAGUCAGCGGUAAAAGACUGCAGCUAAACUGUAGCACGCCGUUGAAACUGGCGCCCUCGAGACGAGACGAGGGAGGCGGAACAAGUGAAGUAGCGGUGAAAUGCUUAGAUAUCACUUGGAACCCCGAUAGCGAAGGCAGCUUCCCAGGCUCGAUCUGACGCUGAUGCGCGAGAGC